UGACAUUAUUAAAUAGUGAAGGACGCAAUACACAAUCACAUGACCGGAAACUGUCUGACGUUUGUUACUAAGAUUGAAUUUCAAUGUUGAACGAUAGAAAAUAUCAAUAGUAACACAAAUGGCUUAUAAUAAGGAGGGUUCAUAAAGGACGUGACUUUAUUUUUUAUUUUAAUUGUUUCACCUGACAGGAAUCUGACAGAAAUACAGAGGCUGAAUGGUUUUGUGACGACUGUUCUAAAUGUUACUGUUGCAAAUGUGUGGAGUAUCAUAACUAUCUUUUCAAGAAGCGUGCAAUUUUAAGCAAAGAAAACAUCAGCCUAUGGCCUGAGACUGAUGUGGUUGAACAAGAGAAAUGUAAGAAGCACCAGAAAGAAAAACUGACAAUAUUCUGUGAGGAACACAUUCAGCUGAUAUGUCAUGUCUGCCAUUUCCACAAUCAUCAGAAAUGCAGUCAUUUGGUACUAAUAUCUGACAAAAUGAAACAGCUGCAUUAAAAAGGAGACUUCAAGCAGUUGUCAGCAACUAUUUAUACACAACACCAACAGUUGAUACUUGAGAAAUAUGACUUAGAGGAGAAUAUUAAGUCUCUUGAGAAAUCUUACAAGAACAUUCUGGAAGGAAUCAAUGCUUUACGAAAGACAAUUAAUGAUUCUUUGGAUAAACUGGAGAAAUAUACCAAGAAGGAGUGGAACAUAUUUCUGGUCACAAUGAGAACAUUUAUUCAAACUGACAUUGAAAACUGCAGUAAUACCAUCACAAUAGUACAUGCUUUGAUGAAGAUUUGCUGAAAAUAAAAAACAAAAGUGAAGCACUUUGUUUUAUCAAGUACAGAAAAUGUAUUGACCUGUCCGUUAAGGUAAAAUCAGUUUUACAAGAAAUGACACAAAGAAUUAGAGGACACUAGCUUUUAAGCCUGAUACAACUAUCCAACAAACCCUUUUCACUCUCUCAGAAUUGGAACAAAUACGGAGCACAAUGGCACAAUCACAAACAGGUGCAGUAAGCAAGUCUGAUGAAAUCAUAAAAGUGAGGAGAACAGUGUGAUGAUUAAGGGUGAUGCAAACACAUGCUGUAUCACAGGUAUCUGUGAGACAGCUUCUGAAGCACUCCUCAUCACAGACCAGCACAAUCGUAAAGUGAAGCUCCUGGAUAGAACCUACAAGGUGGUGGCCCACUAUGACUUGCCUAAUACACCAUGGUCCAUGUGCAGCAUUGACUCCAGCCUGGCUGCUGAAAAUAUGAGUAACAAAGAAGUCCACUUUAUCAGAGUGACCAAUGGUCAGUUGAUAAAGGACAGGAUACUGAAGCUAGAACAUUGUUGCAUUGGUAUUGCCCAUCAGGAUAGUAACCUGUACAUUACAGAUGGUACAGCUCUGUAUCACUAUACUGUGAAUGGAACACUGGUGAGGGAGAUGUUUCGUGAUACAUCAGGUCCAUGAACAGUUACCUCCUGUGCAAUGAGUCCAGAUGGAGACAGGAUAUAUGUGAUUAAUGAGUCCAGUAAACAGCUGGUCACACUAUCCAGGGAUGGCCUGAUCUCCACCCUGACUGAUAUUCAACUGAACUUCCCUCUAGAAGUACUACCAGGCCUACAUGUGACAGAUAAGGACAAGUCCUGGUGUGCGGAUACUAUAAAGACAUAAUCACCCAGAUGGACAGAGAUGGGAGACAGACUCUGGCAGAGAUGGUCACACAGAAGGAUGGUGUGACUAGCCCAUUAUAUGUAUACUACAGUAAGCACAGAGACUCAAUCAUUGUAGGAAUGAUGCGAGAUAAUGACAUUUUAGUGUUUAAGGCACACCGACUGUUUCAUUAGGAUGACAUACAUGUAUGCUAAUGCACACAAUCAUAUAAACAGUUGUCAUUUAAAAUAGUGUUGCAGUUUUUUGUACACUGUACAUUGACUGUUGGAAUAGGAAAUAUUCAAUAUUCCCUGUAUAAAACUAUAACAAAUAUCCAAUGAAGCAUGUCUUUACCAAAUCGGUAUCAGUGAAAAAUUGAAAUAGAAAUAUGCUCAAAUAUCAUAAGUAAAAGAAAUAACUUAUUAGUUUAAUUGAAACUAGGUUUGAAAGGAUGGUAUAAACAUUAGAGAACAGACUGUAACAAUGAUUUUGUUUGAGGAUCAGUUUACUUAUUGUUUAUAAAUAUCUUAUGAUAUUUUUUAUGAUAUGCAUGUCAUAAAUUUGUGUAUGAACAUUGUCUGUCCGUGUGUCAAGUAUUUGUUAAACUUAUACAAUGUAUUUAAGACACUGUUGGAAAUGAUAUAUUCAAUAUUCCAUAUAUGAAACUAUUACACAUAAAGCAUGUCUUUACCAAAUCGGUAUCAGUGAGAAAUUGAAAUUGAAAUUGAAAUAUGCUAAUACAUAAUUAACAAAAAAUGCAAACCUAUUAGCUUAAUCGAAACCCGGUUUGAAAGGAUUGUACAAACAUUAAAUAACAGUCUAUUAAAAUGAUUUAUUUUGACGAUUAGUUUACUUAUGGUAUUGCUCAUCAUAUGCAAGUCUGUCAGUUUGUCAAGUAUUUUUUAACUUAUAUUUAUGUGAGUAUACUAUAUAACAUAGGAACAGAGAGAAUCUGGGGUUGGGGUGGAGUUAUGCAUACACACGCAAUGAUACAAAAAGUGUGGGUUAGUUAUUCAUUAAUUUAAUUGGUGUAUAUAUGUAUUAUUUUAGUGUGUAAAUAAAAUGUAGUCUUAA